UACAGAGGGGGCGAAGCGUUGUCCGAAGUUACUGGGCGUAAAGCGCGCGUAGGCGGGUUGGUAAGUCCGCUGUGAAAGCCCGGAGCUCAACUCCGGAGGGUCGGUGGAUACUGCCAGUCUUGAAGGUGCUAGGGGGAGAUGGAAUUACCGGUGUAGCGGUGAAAUGCGUAGAUAUCGGUAGGAACACCAGUGGCGAAGGCGGCUCUCUGGGACGGUACUGACGCUGAGACGCGAAAGCGUGGGGAGCGAACAGG
rnacentral:rRNA from 1 species